rnacentral:rRNA from 1 species
GGGUAACCUGCCUGUAAGAUGGGAUAACUCCGGGAAACCGGAGCUAAUACCGGAUAGUUCCUUGAACCGCAUGGUUCAGGAUGAAAGACGGUUUCGGCUGUCACUUACAGAUGGACCCGCGGCGCAUUAGCUAGUUGUGGGGUAAUGGCUCACCAAGGCGACGAUGCGUAGCCGACCUGAGAGGGUGAUCGGCCACCUGGGACUGAGACACGGCCCAGACUCCUACGGGAGGCAGCAGUAGGGAAUCUUCCGCAAGGACGAAAGUCUGACGGAGCAACGCCGCGUGAGUGAUGAAGGUUUUCGGAUCGUAAAGCCUGUUGUUAGGGAAGAACAAGUGCGAGAGUAACUGCUCGCACCUUGACGGUACCUAACCGAAAGCCACGGCUAACUACGUGCCAGCAGCCGCGGUAAUACGUAGGUGGCAAGCGUUGUCGGAAUUAUUGGGCGUAAAGGGCUCGCAGGCGGUUUCUUAAGUCUGAUGUGAAAGCCCCGGCUCAACCGGGGAGGGUCAUUGGAAACUGGGAAACUUGAGUGCAGAAGAGGAGAGUGGAUUCCACGUGUAGCGGUGAAAUGCGUAGAGAUGUGGAGGAACACCAGUGGCGAAGGCGAUCUCUGGUCUGUAACUGACGCUGAGGAGCGAAAGCGUGGGGAGCGAACAGGAUUAGAUACCUGGUAGUCCACGCCGUAAACGAUGAGUGCUAAGUGUUAGGGGGUUUCCGCCCCUUAGGCUGCAGCUAACGCAUUAAGCACUCCGCCUGGGGAGUACGGUCGCAAGACUGAAACUCAAGGAAUUGACGGGGGCCCGCACAAGCGGUGGAGCAUGUGGUUUAAUUCGAAGCAACGCGAGAACCUUACCAGGUCUUGACAUCCUCUGACAACCCUAGAGAUAGGGCUUUCCCUUCGGGACAGAGUGACAGGUGGUGCAUGGUUGUCGUCAGCUCGUGUCGUGAGAUGUUGGGUUAAUCCCGCAACGAGCGCAACCCUUGAUCUUAGUUGCCAGCAUUYAGUUGGGCACUCUAAGGGACUGCCGGUGACAAACCGGAGGAAGGUGGGGAUGACGUCAAAUCAUCAUGCCCCUUAUACCUGGGCUACACACGUGCUACAAUGGACAGAACAAAGGGCUGCGAGACCGCAAGGUUUGCCAAUCCCACAAAUCUGUUCUCAGUUCGGAUCGCAGUCUGCAACUCGACUGCGUGAAGUGGAAUCGCUAGUAAUCGCGGAUCAGC